CCCUUAGAUGUUCUGGGCCGCACGCGUGCUACACUGAGUAAUUCAAUGGGUAAGGGAACGCUAGAGCAUUACCUAAUCUUGAAAUUUGCUCGUGAUGGGGAUCGACGGUUGCAAUUUUCCGUCGUGAACGAGGAAUACCUUGUAGGCGCAUGUCAUCAUCAUGCGCCGAAUACGUCCCUGCCCUUUGUAAACACCGCCCGUCGCUCCUACCGAUUGAGUGAUCCGGUGAGGCUCUGGGACCUGGACGGAAAGAGCGUUUCGCUUGUUCUGUUUGGGAAACUUGGUCGAACCUUAUCAUUUAGAGGAAGGAGAAGUCGUAACA
rnacentral:rRNA from 1 species